rnacentral:rRNA from 1 species
GAUGAACGCUGGCGGCGUGCCUAAUACAUGCAAGUCGAGCGAACAGACGAGGAGCUUGCUCCUCUGAUGUUAGCGGCGGACGGGUGAGUAACACGUGGAUAACCUACCUAUAAGACUGGGAUAACUUCGGGAAACCGGAGCUAAUACCGGAUAACAUGUUGAACCGCAUGGUUCAACAGUGAAAGACGGUCUUGCUGUCACUUAUAGAUGGAUCCGCGCCGCACUAGCUAGUUGGUAAGGUAACGGCUUACCAAGGCAACGAUGCGUAGCCGACCUGAGAGGGUGAUCGGCCACACUGGGACUGAGACACGGUCCAGACUCCUACGGGAGGCAGCAGUAGGGAAUCUUCCGCAAUGGGCGAAAGCCUGACGGAGCAACGCCGCGUGAGUGAAGAAGGUCUUCGGAUCGUAAAACUCUGUUAUUAGGGAAGAACAAAUGUGUAAGUAACUAUGCACGUCUUGACGGUACCUAAUCAGAAAGCCACGGCUAACUACGUG